rnacentral:rRNA from 1 species
GACGAACGCUGGCGGCGUGCUUAACACAUGCAAGUCGAACGCUGAAGCUCAGCUUUUGUUGGGUGGAUGAGUGGCGAACGGGUGAGUAACACGUGAGUAACCUGCCUCCUUCUUUGGGAUAACGCCCGGAAACGGGUGCUAAUACUGGAUAUUCACUGGUCUUCGCAUGGGGGUUGGUGGAAAGGGUUUUUCUGGUGGGGGAUGGGCUCGCGGCCUAUCAGCUUGUUGGUGGGGUGAUGGCCUACCAAGGCUUUGACGGGUAGCCGGCCUGAGAGGGUGACCGGUCACAUUGGGACUGAGAUACGGCCCAGACUCCUACGGGAGGCAGCAGUGGGGAAUAUUGCACAAUGGGGGCAAGCCUGAUGCAGCGACGCCGCGUGAGGGAUGGAGGCCUUCGGGUUGUGAACCUCUUUCGCUCAUGGUCAAGCCGCAACAAUGGUUGUGGUGAGGGUAGUGGGUAAAGAAGCGCCGGCUAACUACGUG